rnacentral:rRNA from 1 species
CAACAGCUCAAAUUUGAAAUCUGGCUCCCUCGGGGCCCGAGUUGUAAUUUGUAGAGGGUGUUUCGGGCGCGAUGCCGGUCUAAGUUCCUUGGAACAGGACGUCGUAGAGGGUGAGAAUCCCGUAUGCGACCGGCGAUCAAGCCCGUGCGAAACCCCUUCGACGAGUCGAGUUGUUUGGGAAUGCAGCUCAAAAUGGGUGGUAAAUUUCAUCUAAAGCUAAAUACUGGCCAGAGACCGAUAGCGGACAAGUAGAGUGAUCGAAAGAUGAAAAGCACUUUGGAAAGAGAGUCAAACAGUACGUGAAAUUGUUGAAAGGGAAGCGCUUGCAAUCAGACCGGUCCGGAGGCGAUCAGCCGCUGCUCGUCAGCGGUGCACUCGCCUGCGAUCCGGCCAGCAUCGGUCUGGGCGGCGGGAUAAAAGUCCCGGGAAUGUAGCUCCUCCCGGGGAGUCUUAUAGCCCGGGUCGCAAUGCCGCCCGCCCGGACCGAGGACCGCGCUUCGGCUAGGAUGCUGGCGUAAUGGUUGCAAGCG